UGGGGAAUUUUGGACAAUGGGCGAAAGCCUGAUCCAGCAAUGCCGCGUGUGUGAAGAAGGCCUUCGGGUUGUAAAGCACUUUUGUCCGGAAAGAAAUCCUUGGCUCUAAUACAGUCGGGGGAUGACGGUACCGGAAGAAUAAGCACCGGCUAACUACGUGCCAGCAGCCGCGGUAAUACGUAGGGUGCAAGCGUUAAUCGGAAUUACUGGGCGUAAAGCGUGCGCAGGCGGUUUGCUAAGACCGAUGUGAAAUCCCCGGGCUCAACCUGGGAACUGCAUUGGUGACUGGCAGGCUAGAGUAUGGCAGAGGGGGGUAGAAUUCCACGUGUAGCAGUGAAAUGCGUAGAGAUGUGGAGGAAUACCGAUGGCGAAGGCAGCCCCCUGGGCCAAUACUGACGCUCAUGCACGAAAGCGUGGGGGAGCAAACAGGAUUAGAUACCCUGGUAGUCCACGCCCUAAACGAUGUCAACUAGUUGUUGGGGAUUCAUUUCCUUAGUAACGUAGCUAACGCGUGAAGUUGACCGCCUGGGGAGUACGGUCGCAAGAUUAAAACUCAAAGGAAUUGACGGGGU
rnacentral:rRNA from 1 species